rnacentral:rRNA from 1 species
AGCGAACGCUGGCGGCAGGCUUAACACAUGCAAGUCGAACGGGCACUUCGGUGCUAGUGGCAGACGGGUGAGUAACACGUGGGAACGUACCUUUCGGUUCGGAAUAAUUCAGGGAAACUUGGACUAAUACCGGAUAAGCCCUUCGGGGGAAAGAUUUAUCGCCGAUAGAUCGGCCCGCGUCUGAUUAGCUAGUUGGUGAGGUAAAGGCUCACCAAGGCGACGAUCAGUAGCUGGUCUGAGAGGAUGAUCAGCCACAUUGGGACUGAGACACGGCCCAAACUCCUACGGGAGGCAGCAGUGGGGAAUAUUGGACAAUGGGCGAAAGCCUGAUCCAGCCAUGCCGCGUGUGUGAUGAAGGCCUUAGGGUUGUAAAGCACUUUUGUCCGGGAAGAUAAUGACUGUACCGGAAGAAUAAGCCCCGGCUAACUUCGUGCCAGCCGCCGCAGUAA